UCCUGAUAGAUGGCUCUGUGUACAUGC
rnacentral:piRNA from 1 species